ACAUGCCUACAACAUAGUGUUAAUGCACCGGAUCCCAUUAGAACUUUGUAAUUAAGCGCGCUCAAGCUAGAGUAGUACUGGGAUGGGUGACCACUCGGGAAUUCCUAGUAUUUUACAUGCC
rnacentral:rRNA from 1 species